rnacentral:rRNA from 1 species
CAAUAGCGUAUAUUAAAGUUGUUGCAGUUAGAACGCUCGUAGUCGGAUUUCGGGGCGUUCCGACCGGUCUGCCGAUGGGUAUGCACUGGCCGGAGUGUCCUUUUUGCCGGAGACCGUGCCUACUCUUAACUGAGCGGGGGCGGGAGACGGCACUUUUACUUUGAAAAAAUCAGAGUGUUUCAAGCAGGCAGCUCGCUCUUGCAUGGAUUAGCAUGGGAUAAUGAAAUAGGACUUUGGUGCUAUUUUGUUGGUUUCGAACACCGAAGUAAUGAUGAGAAGGGACAGUCAGGGGCACUCGUAUUCCGCAGAGAGAGGUGAAAUUCUCAGACUCGCGGAAGACGAACCACUGCGAAAGCAUUUGCCAGGGAUGUUUUCACUGA